CCCACAAGCUCAUAGGAUUCUGAGCUGGAAGGACCUCAAGCCCUUCAUUUUACAGAUGAAGAAACUGAUGCCCAAAGAAGCUGAGGCUUGCCCAGGAUAACCCCAGAACUCUACAAACGAUGGGGGAUUGAAAUCUAAACCUCCAGCUUUACAUGCAGCAGCCCUCAUUGCUUUUUAUGUCAUUGGAGGUGGAGGAUGGAGGAUAAACUAAAUCCCUGAUUUUGUUGAUACAAGGAACUUCCGGUGGGGAAGCUUUCACUAGCAAUACAGAAUAACUGUCCUGCAGCCUUGAACGUUGCCUGGAGUUUCCAGAGAUAAGUGACUUUCUCAGAACAGGGGCUCCAACCCAGGGUUAUCUUAAUGCCAAGUCCAGCUCUUUACCCACCAAGAUACACUGCAUCUCCAUUUCCCUGAUUAACAGAGGUGGAAAUGGCAGCAGGGAAAAGGCUUCCUCAUUAGUAAAAUGAAGGGACUGGACUAGAUUAUAUCUGAGGGUCCUGGCAUCUCUGUGUCCUGUGGCUGCCACAGAAGGCACCACAUCGUGAGCUGUCCAGCCUGAGCUGUGCCUCUCUCCAGAGCCAGAGGAAGGUCCUCCCUCCCUUCAAACAGUGACCUACCCAGAAUGCAACUGCAGAGCCCAUGGAGUUCACAGAAGUGGCUCAGGAGCACCUUAUUAGCAGAGGCAAGAUGCAAAGGUGACUCUCAUGCCUGUGACAGCUUUGCUUAACUCAGCUACCUAAAGAGCUAACUGAUUAAACACCACACAGAAGAAGGGUAAUGUCCUGCUUGGAAAAGAUGCUCUGAGGGGGCAGCUAGGUGGCUCUGGGGAUUGAGAAUUAUGCCUAAAGAUGGGAGAUCCUGGGUUCAAAUCUGGUCUCAGUGUGACCCUGGACAAGUCACUUGACCCCCAUUGCCUAACCCUUACUGCUCUUCUGCCUUGGAACCAAUACACAGUAUUAAUUCUAAAACAGAAGGAAGAGUUUUAAAAAAAAAAAGUAACUGAGCUUGCCUCAACUGUCUACCCUUCCAGGGGUUCACACUCAUAAGAAGGUAAUUGAGGAGAACGUUCUCUUCCUUUCCAGGUGCCACAGAGACCCUGGAAUGGGUUCCCAGGAGAAAUUGUUGGGUCACUAGAAGAAAGACAGUCCAGGAGGCCAACUCCAGAGAGCAUCUGGGGACAGAGAGGCUUCCAAGGUGGCAAGGGCAGAUCAGUGACAAGGCUAUAAUUUGUUCUGAAAGACAGGUUUCUGAGAUGAGCAGGUGAAGUGGUCAACUCCCACAUCUGCUUUCCACUCAAUUCGGUGGCAUCAGAUGAAUCUCUCCUGAGCACUCAGCCCUGUGCUAGCUGGAUCAGUGAAAGUUGCAAAAGAAGUGUCUGGCAUUUCCCCUGUUGUCGUGGAGCCCAUCCUUUGUUAGCAGAGUCCUAGAAAUAAGACAUCUGACCAUGAAAUAAAUAAUGACAUUAAUCCAUAUUGAUGAAAGCCCUUCUAUUGAU